AAAUAGGAUUUUUUAAAAUCCACCUCAUGGUUCUUGUUUUUUCUUUU
rfam:TPA: Bos taurus chromosome 22, whole genome shotgun sequence.